GGUCAGGACGAACGCUGGCGGCGUGCCUAAUACAUGCAAGUCGAGCGGACCGACGGGAGCUUGCUCCCUUAGGUCAGCGGCGGACGGGUGAGUAACACGUGGGUAACCUGCCUGUAAGACUGGGAUAACUCCGGGAAACCGGGGCUAAUACCGGAUGCUUGAUUGAUCCGCAUGGUUCAAUCAUAAAAGGUGGCUUUUAGCUACCACUUACAGAUGGACCCGCGGCGCAUUAGCUAGUUGGUGAGGUAACGGCUCACCAAGGCGACGAUGCGUAGCCGACCUGAGAGGGUGAUCGGCCACACUGGGACUGAGACACGGCCCAGACUCCUACGGGAGGCAGCAGUAGGGAAUCUUCCGCAAUGGACGAAAGUCUGACGGAGCAACGCCGCGUGAGUGAUGAAGGUUUUCGGAUCGUAAAACUUCUGUUGUUAGGGAAGAACAAGUACCGUUCGAAUAGGCGCAC
rnacentral:rRNA from 1 species